GGGUCCGAUAGUGAGUGCUGUCGGAGGAAAAUUCCGGAUGGUCGGGCCGCCAUCCG
rnacentral:ncRNA from 12 species